rnacentral:tRNA from 1 species
UAUACUUAAGUAUUAUUGUAUAAGAAUUUUUGGAAUUCUAGGUAUUAGUUUAAAUCUAUUAGGUAUAA